rnacentral:rRNA from 1 species
UUAGUGGCGGACGGGUGAGUAACGCGUGGUAACCUGCCUUACGCAGGGGGAUAACACUUAGAAAUAGGUGCUAAAACCGCAUAAGCGCACAGCUUCGCAUGAAGCGGUGUGAAAAACUCCGGUGGUGUAAGAUGGACCCGCGUCUGAUUAGCUUGUUGGCGGGGUAACGGCCCACCAAGGCGACGAUCAGUAGCCGGCCUGAGAGGGCGGACGGCCACCAUUGGGACUGAGACACGGCCCAGACUCCUACGGGAGGCAGCAG